rnacentral:rRNA from 1 species
UACAGAGGGUGCAAACGUUGCUCGGAAUUAUUGGGCGUAAAGCGCACGUAGGCGGUUCGUUAAGUCAGAUGUGAAAGCCCCGGGCUCAACUCGGGAAGUGCAUUUGAAACUGGCGGGCUUGAGUAUGGAAGAGGGUCGCGGAAUUCCCGGUGUAGAGGUGAAAUUCGUAGAUAUCGGGAGGAACACCAGUGGCGAAGGCGGCGACCUGGGCCAAUACUGACGCUGAGGUGCGAAAGCCAGGGGAGCAAACGGG